UCAGGGAGGAAUAAAUGACGUGUACCUGAAGAAUAAGCAUCGGCUAACUCCGUGCCAGCAGCCGCGGUAAGACGGAGGAUGCAAGUGUUAUCCGGAAUCACUGGGCGUAAAGCGUCUGUAGGUGGCUCGACAAGUCAACUGUUAAAUCUUGAAGCUCAACUUCGAAAUCGCCGUCGAAACUAUCGAACUAGAGUAUAGUAGAGGUAAAGGGAAUUUCCAGUGGAGCGGUGAAAUGCGUAGAGAUUGG
rnacentral:rRNA from 1 species